ACACAUCCCGGAUCUUUUACCUUAAGUGGAUGAUCCCUCUUCAGAGGUUGAACAACAAAAUCCUCCUCUUCAUCAGUGAGUUCAGUUUCUUCUUCAAGAUUGAAGUUGAUUCUUUCAACAUAGGGAGGAAUUUGCAGAUUUACUGCAAGUACCACAGUCACUUGGUUGAAGAUCUCUCUAAGUCUCCCGUCAUGACUGUUUUCAACUCGC
rnacentral:lncRNA from 1 species